rnacentral:rRNA from 1 species
CCUACGGGAGGCAGCAGUGGGGAAUUUUGGACAAUGGGGGCAACCCUGAUCCAGCAAUGCCGCGUGUGUGAAGAAGGCCUUCGGGUUGUAAAGCACUUUUGUCCGGAAAGAAAACCUCCGUCCUAAUACGGUGGGGGGAUGACGGUACCGGAAGAAUAAGCACCGGCUAACUACGUGCCAGCAGCCGCGGUAA